GCAGCCGCGGUAAUUCCAGCUCCAAUAGCGUAUAUUAAAGUUGUUGCAGUUAAAAAGCUCGUAGUUGAAUUUCGGGAUCAAUAUAUCGGUCGUGCCAUUGGUACGUACUGGUAUCAUUGAUUUCUCCUUUCUGACGAACCAUGAUGUCAUUAAUUUGGUGUUAUGGGGAGUUAGGACUGUUACUUUGAAAAAAUUAGAGUGUUUAAAGCAGGCAUUAGCUUGAAUACAUUAGCAUGGAAUAAUGAAAUAGGACGUUUGACCCUAUUUUGUUGGUUUCUAGGAUCGACGUAAUGAUUAAUAGGGAUAGUUGGG
rnacentral:rRNA from 1 species